AGUGAACGCUGGCGGUAGGCCUAACACAUGCAAGUCGAACGGCAGCACAGUAAGAGCUUGCUCUUACGGGUGGCGAGUGGCGGACGGGUGAGGAAUACAUCGGAAUCUACUUUUUCGUGGGGGAUAACGUAGGGAAACUUACGCUAAUACCGCAUACGACCUACGGGUGAAAGCAGGGGAUCUUCGGACCUUGCGCGAUUGAAUGAGCCGAUGUCGGAUUAGCUAGUUGGCGGGGUAAAGGCCCACCAAGGCGACGAUCCGUAGCUGGUCUGAGAGGAUGAUCAGCCACACUGGAACUGAGACACGGUCCAGACUCCUACGGGAGGCAGCAGUGGGGAAUAUUGGAAAAUGGGAGCAAGCCUGAUCCAGCCAUACCGCGUGGGUGAAGAAGGCCUUCGGGUUGUAAAGCCCUUUUGUUGGGAAAGAAAAGCAGCAGGUUAAUAACCCGAUGUUCUGACGGUACCCAAAGAAUAAGCACCGGCUAACUUCGUG
rnacentral:rRNA from 1 species